rnacentral:rRNA from 1 species
GACGAACGCUGGCGGCGUGCCUAAUACAUGCAAGUCGAACGCUGAAGGAGGAGCUUGCUCUUCUGGAUGAGUUGCGAACGGGUGAGUAACGCGUAGGUAACCUGCCUGGUAGCGGGGGAUAACUAUUGGAAACGAUAGCUAAUACCGCAUAACAGUAGAUGUUGCAUGACAUUUGCUUAAAAGGUGCAAUUGCACCACUACCAGAUGGACCUGCGUUGUAUUAGCUAGUUGGUGGGGUAACGGCUCACCAAGGCGACGAUACAUAGCCGACCUGAGAGGGUGAGCGGCCACACUGGGACUGAGACACGGCCCAGACUCCUACGGGAGGCAGCAGUAGGGAAUCUUCGGCAAUGGACGGAAGUCUGACCGAGCAACGCCGCGUGAGUGAAGAAGGUUUUCGGAUCGUAAAGCUCUGUUGUAAGAGAAGAACGAGUGUGAGAGUGGAAAGUUCACACUGUGACGGUAUCUUACCAGAAAGGGACGGCUAACUACGUG